rnacentral:rRNA from 1 species
AUACGGAAGGUCCGGGCGUUAUCCGGAUUUAUUGGGUUUAAAGGGAGCGCAGGCGGAGAUGCAAGCGUGACGUCAAAUUUCGGGGCUCAACCCCGUCUCGCGUCGCGAACUGCGUCCCUUGGUUGCGGGAAGGGGAGGCGGAACUCGUGGUGUAGCGGUGAAAUGCAUAGAUAUCACGAAGAACUCCGAUCGCGGAGGCAGCCUUCCGGCCCGUCAACGACGCUCAUGCUCGAAGGUGCGGGUAUCAAACAGGAUUAGAUACCCUGGUAGUCCGCACAGUAAACGAUGGACACCCGCGGUUUGGCCUGUAUGGCUGAGCCGCCAAGCGAAAGCGUUAAGUGUCCCACCUGGGGAGUACGCCGGCAACGGUGAAACUCAAAGGAAUUGACGGG